UGUUUUUUGUUCUUUCAGAGGGUCGUGUUUUAGGCUUUUAAACAUCGGCCUCAUGCUCUGAGAAAGGAACUUGAAGUGAUCCACGCCCUGGGGGACCAUUCUGUAUCCCUGCCGCUUGUCCCUACUGUUGAUUUAAAUGUGGGGAAAACACCGUGCCAAAAGGAUUCCAAUUGGUCAAAAUCCUGUCAAAUUUAUCCUGCUUCUUCCCGAGUAGUUUUUUUGUGUUCCCUUUCCAGCCCUUCAGCAUGUGGUCCACUUCAGCCCCGUUGUCUUGAGGCGAGAUGGAAGUGUCACCACUCACGUGUUUCAUCUUCUUCCCUCCCAUUCCCUCCCUCUCGUCCUGCUGAGGACGGAGUUUUGCAGUUGCCUUGCCGGGAAGAGUCCACUUGUUCCCCUUCGUGUCCAUCUCCCUUCCUGCUUGUUUUUGUGGGGAAGUAGAAUAGGUCUAGCGUAGGGGUCGAGGUAUGCCUAUAAAAAUUCACAGCAUCAUAUUUUAAAUGUAGCUUUGUAGUUGUGCUGUUGACAGCAGUCUUCAUUGGACAUCUCCGUGCUGAGCACUGUUCCCCUCCAAGCACUAUAUUCUUUUGAGGCCAGGAAUGGACCUCAACCUGCCCCAGGCAUGGGAGGACCCAGUACUGAUGACCGCCUAAGCUUGCCAGUUCCUGGCCUUGUGAGUUAAUGAGAUAAUUGAAGAGAUCCAUGUUUCUCCCAGGCACUGGCAGAAAAUCAUGUGCAGAGAAAGUGGUCAUGUCCAUGAGAUUCUGACAGCAAGAUUUGUCAAGAAAUAGGUCAAACUUUUAGGCCCACAUUGACUAUCCAACUGUGUUUUACUUUAUAAAAACAAAAACUGCCAUAACCCUUAAAAAUAUUAGCAUAUUAUCCAGACCUAUUAAAAAUAUAACACUCUCUAAAUUUUUUUAUGUAUAGUUUUCAGAAACACUGCCAAAUGCAUUUUGUGUAAAGGAGGAUAUAUUGUAUAUAAUCAUGUUCUGACUCUGGCUCUAAUAAAAGUUAAACGGUCUAAUUAUUUCAAACCCUGUAGUUUGAAAUUAUUUUUUGAGAAAAAUCUUAGAGCAUGGCACUAUUUUUAGUUUUCAUGUAAUGUACAGCUAUUCUCAGAAGCUGCUUAUGUGUUUGUGUUUCAUGUAUAGAAAUACUGUAAAUAGGGCCCAUGGAUUUCCCCAGGAAGCUUCUGAGCUUUGGUUGUAAUCACCAAGUGCUCGGGUCUAGGUGGCUGGAUGUGCAUCUCAAGCUUUACUGUGCGUGUUGCAAACUUUGUCCAAAUAAAGUAGCUUUGUACUCUGAA